GGAUUAUGGGGUGAGGGGUUAUGGGGUGAGGGGUUACAGGUGAGGGGUUAUGGGAUAAGGGGUUACAGGUGAGGGGUUAUGGGAUAAGGGGUUACAGGUGAGGGGUUAUGGGGUGACGGGUUCCAGGUGAGGGGUUAUGGGAUAAGGGGUUACAGGUGAGGGGUUAUGGGCUGAGGGGUUACAGGUGA